UACAGAGGGUGCAAGCGUUAAUCGGAAUUACUGGGCGUAAAGCGCACGUAGGCGGUUUUUUAAGUCAGAUGUGAAAGCCCCGGGCUCAACCUGGGAAUUGCAUUUGAAACUGGGAAACUAGAGUGUGCGAGAGGGGGGUAGAAUUCCAAGUGUAGCGGUGAAAUGCGUAGAGAUUUGGAGGAAUACCAGUGGCGAAGGCGGCCCCCUGGCACAACACUGACGCUCAGGUGCGAAAGCGUGGGGAGCAAACAGG
rnacentral:rRNA from 1 species